rnacentral:rRNA from 1 species
GACGAACGCUGGCGGCGCGCUUAACACAUGCAAGUCGAGCGAGAACCGGCCCUUCGGGGCCGGGGACAGCGGCGAACGGGUGAGUAACACGUGGGUAAUCAACCCUCGGUACUGGGAUAGCCCGGGGAAACCCGGAUUAAUACCGGAUGGCCCUUUGGAUCUUCGGAUCUGACGGAAAAGGUAGCUUCGGCCUCCGACCGAGGACGAGCCCGCGGCGGAUUAGCUUGUUGGUGGGGUAACGGCCUACCAAGGCGG